AUAUCUAUACAGAGGCCACUCAUAAACGACGUCGUGAUUUCUCGAUAUUCCUUGAGAAUCCGCAUUGAGUGAAACUCGCAUUUUGUCCUUGUUCUUUGGCUUCCUCGAUAAUAUUCAUCUCCAACUCGAAUUUGCUUCUUCUUUUUUGCUUCGAGAAUCUAUCGAUUAUGUAGAAGAUCUCGAUUUUCUCUUUCGCUGUGUCUUUUUGCCUCAUCCCCAUGAUUGCCCAAGCCAUCGAUGUCCAUUACUGCGAUAACAACGCAGUCAAGGUGAAAAGGGUUGACAUCUCGCCAUAUCCAAUCGUUGCCUGCAACUUUCAGUAUCUUCGCCAUCACAGGCAUCUGUUUUAACGGGCGUUCCACUUCGUUUGCGUGCUUCUUACAAAGGCCGUGCGAUCUCAAGGGGAAAGCUGGUGAUUGAAGUUUCAUACUUUUGGAUGGCGUAUUCACUCCGAGACAUAUGACCUUUGUGAUGAGACGACUUGUCCUUAUUAAGAGAUAUGGAGAAGAUUACAUAUUAGGUAAUCUUUUCGAAUUUUCUCCAUAUCUCUUAAUAGUCCUGUGACAAUGAGAGAUUUUGUGGUCUCACACUCGCAAGUUCUUCCCGGAUACACGCCACCUGUUCUUCAUAUGCUUGAUGCAGACGAGGAGCAUGCAUCAAGUUUUCAUUCAGACAGUCAAGCAAUUCGUUAAUUACUUUUAAUAAAUAAAUCAAACCCGUUUAUACAUUUUCAUUACCUUAACCCAUUUAUACAUUUUCAAUUAUACAAAUUUAUUCUGUUCUAUAAUAAUUGUCUGAAAUAAGAACCAAUGUUAAUCGGUUAGAUUUGGUUCGGUUUUA